AAUAAUUUUAUCCGCUUGAUUUAGGAAGUGCACAUAGGUAGGUCAACAUAUUUUGUAGCUCUUUCACAUGUAAAAGCAUAUGUUGCAUAAGAAAUUAUUAUCUUCGAAGCAUACUCACAUUUCACUAACAAAUAGGGGGAGGUUCAGACUUCAGAGCAAUGAUAACAAGGAGGUUCUGUUUGUGACUUUGCAAUCAAUAUUCGUUGAUACGGAGCUCGAUCAAAAAUCACCUAUGAAAAAUAUGCCGUUCUUCUCUACAGGGGUUGAAUGUGGAAUUUGAGGAGAAUCUGUGCACUAGCAUCCGACUCCUUGAUGUUGCUCUGAUCAUAUUGUGUAAAUAUAUUUCUAAUAAAGCAAUCGCCCGAUGGUGUACAUGUUAGAAAUAACAAGAUGUAAUCAUCAAGUGUGAGAGAUGGCAACAUCAUGAUGGGAUGGUAUGUACUGUUGUGCUCAUCAAUAGGUUCGUCUUUCAUUCUCUUGCAGCCAGCAUGUUUUUUGUUAUGCAAACAAUUAGGAAAUAUCUAAUUUCUAUGUACGUCCAAAUAUAUAUAAGUAGUUGUUGUUAGCACUGAAUUUGGAUUUGUUAACGGUCGCUGCAUUUGGUCUAUCUCGAGCCUCUGGCUGUGGAUCAUGUUCUUUUGAUAUCCGCUUGCCAUGAUAUGUUAUCUCUGGUAUGUGUUACCUCUAU